CCUUACGCACAGAGAUUGUUCCAGAUUCUCUGAAUCUUUGGAUGAUAUUAUGCACUGUAUAUGAUGAUAACUUCAAACUCUUUGCUAUUUUUCUCUGAGAAACUCCUUUCUGAUAUUGCUCCACUAUUUUUCGCCGCAGCAUUGGGGGAAUUGGUUAUCCUCUGCCCAUCUUGACUUCUGAGAGACACUGCCACUCUGAGAGGCUCUUUUUAUACCCAAUCAUGUUGCCAAUUGGUCCUCCAGCUGUUCCUUAUAUGUACAUUUAACUUUUCCGGCCUCUUAUUGCUACCUGUCCCAACUUUUUUGGAAUGUGUAGCUCUCAUGAAAUCCAAAAUGAGCCAAUAUUUGGCAUGACAUUUCAAAAUGUCUCACUUUCAACAUUUGAUAUGUUAUCUAUAUUCUAUUGUGAAUAAAAUGUAAGUUUAUGAGAUUUGUAAAUUAUUGCAUUCCUUUUUUAUUCACAAUUUGUACAGUGUCUCAACUUUUUUGGAAUCGGGUUUGUAAAUGACAUAAACAAAUUAGAAAUGACGAUGCAAUAUAUUGGUUGUAAAUCACUAAUUAUAAUUAAGAAAUACCAUAUUUGAAGUAGGCGUUAUAGUGUCAGAAUCUAGGAAUCCAUUAGAAUGUAGGAAUACUGACAAUUUGCAAUACUUUAUUGUGAGUACUUGAGUGUAGGUGCCGCCCUGUUUAGUCAGACCGCCGCGAUUCCCGCUUCCAUGAUGAUAACAGCAAUUAUUCUGAUUGGUAGAGCCGCUGCAGGAUUGUGGAUAAUGUAUAUGAAUGAAUUAAAAAGCAUAAACCUUAGAGAUCAUCACAAGUCUGCCUCGAAAGGUUUAUAUGUUAUCAGUGAAAGUAAAUCUUUUUAUGGAUAAAAAAAGUAGUUUUUUUGUUGUUUGUUUUGUUUUUUCAAGGGAGUAACUAGAAUCUAGAACUCUCUAUCUUUUGCAAGAAUAAAAAAAAUUAUGUAAUUUGUCUUUUGAGUACUAUAAAGGCUCACAGAUGAACAUUUUUUACACCUAACAUAAAGGCUCCAGAACACCCACAUACACACUUAUAAAUAUAUAAUUAUUUAAUGAUCAUUCAGUCAGAGAGUAAAUCUAAAGAAAUAUGUCAAAUGUUCAAGAAUUAUCAAUGCAAGGCAUAAAUACACACACACACACACAAAUCCAUUCAGUGCUUAAUAACUAAAUGAUUCAUCUAAAAAGUGAUGUCUAGAGAAAAUGCAUUCACAAAAUGAGAAUUCAUGGCAUAAAUUCUAAAUAAAAACACAGAAAUAUAUAAUAUCAAGAACAUCAGGUGCGUAAGAGAUACAGGCAGCUGUCAGAACACAUUUUGACAUAAGCCAUGUUUUCUGAUCCCUUAAGCGCAUCUGGAGACUUCUCAUAUUGACUGAACUUUCAACCUCAAAUGUUAAACGAAUGUGAGCCUCUUCUAGUGUGCAGCCAAAGAGAAUAUCUCAAUGAAAGCAGGACAGCACUUUCUGUAAGGAACUAAGUGUUUGGACACAAAGCCUGAGGCAAUAUAUGUUGUCAUUUUUGUAAACUCAUAAUGUAAAUGUGUGACAUGACAUGCAAGCACCAUCCAACUUAUCUUCUUCUCAAUAUCAACCACAUAUAGGUCAAACACAUACACGCUAAAUUAAAAGUGGUAUGCUUUUAAGAGGCUUUUUUGUCCUUUUUGGAUGUGUACCUGAAGCUCAAACAGUAGAGUAUGGUACUAACAACACAAAGGACAUGGGUUCAAUUCCCAUCUAUGAACUGAUCAAAUAUAAAAAUUUAAUGCAAUGCAAGUUUCUUUGGACAAAAGCAUCUGCCAAAUUCAUCAAUGCAAAAAUACAGAGUAGUGUACAGAAAAAAAAAAAGAUAACUUUAAUUAUAACUUUUAUUAAAAUCAUUACAAUGCUUAACAGAAUAUAAAUCAUAAAGCUAAUAAAUAUCUCAUAAUUGUCUUGAAAACGCAAUAUAUAUAUAUAUACACACAGCCCAUCUUCUCUGCAGACCCCCUAGAGUACCUUCAGGGACCCCCAGCUGGUUCACAGACCCCUGACUGAGAACGAUGGCCUUUUGUUUUGCAGUAAUACUUAAAGGUCAGUAUCUUUAAGAUGUUGGAAAAGUGACAUUAAAGUGAUCAUUUAUUUAGCCUCAUGUCAUGCCAAACUCUUAUAACUUUUUCUCUUCCAUGGAACACAAAAGGAGAUAUUUAGAGAUGCUCUCUUGCAUAAAAUUGGUGAAAGUGGAUGGGGACUAGGGAAUGUCUAGCUCCAAAAACAAAAACAAAAAAAAAACACCAUUAAGUGUCCAUAAGACUUGUGCUCUAUAUUCCAAGUCUUCUACAGCCAUACAAUAGGUUAUUAGUCUUUAUUCACUGAAAAUCUUGCCUUGCAGCUUUGGCCACCAUUAACUUUCAUUUAAAGGAAAAGAGCAGCAUGAACUCUGCGUUAAAUAACUACUUUUGUGUUCCACUAAAGAAAGAACAUGUGGAUGAGAAAAUUAUGAUAGAAUUUCAUUUGUGAGACAACUAACCCUCACCCAAAAAUUAAAAUUCUGUCAUUAAUUACUCUGUCGUUUUCAAACCCGUAAGACAUUCAUUAAUUUUCGGAACACAAAUGAAGAUCUUUUUAAUGAAAUCUGAGAGUGUUCUGUCCCUCCAUUGACAGUCUACGCAACUACCACUAUCAAGCCCCAGAAAGGUAGUAAAGACAUCAUUAAAGUAAUCCAUGUGACUCCAGUGAUUUAACCUCAAUUUUAUAAAGCAAUGUGACUGAUUUGUUUGCUCAAAAAAAAGAAAAAAAAACAAACAUAUUUUACCACUUUAUUUACAAAAUAUUAAUCUCCAACGCACGUUCACGCAACAAUGUCUGCUCUCGCGUCAACACAACACGCAUGCAUUGUGGUGCUCUUGUGAACGCGCGUUGGAGUUUAAUGUUUUGAUUAUAUGAAAUCUUAUGGGUUUGGAAUGACGUAAAGUUGAGUAAUUAAUGACAGAAUUUUCAUUUUUGGGUGAACUAACCCUUCAAUGUGUUGUACAGUUAUCAUCCAAUUUUCAAUCUCACGCAGUCAAGAUGCUUGUCGUGAAUAGCAGGGGUGAAGAAAUGUGACAUCUGGAGUGAUGUAAUAUCAGCUUCCAUUGCUAGACGAGUUAUAAAGAGCAAUAUCCAGCUCCGUGGAUUGAGAUGAGCUUAGGUAGAUUAAUGCUAGGGGACUGAAAUGUUUGUUGUAUAAAACCGCAGUUUAUACAACAAUGUGUCACAGCAGUAUAUGAAAGACUGUAAUCUGGCAGAUGGCCUGAAGCCCAAGAGCUGCUCCAUAUUAAUGGGAAUAUCACAAGGUUUAGAGUUCAUGCGAGUCAAUGAGAUUUCAGAUUGCACCUCAUAGAGAGAGAGAGAGAGAGAGAGAGAGAGAGAGAGAGAGAGAGAAAGCAAAGGAGGACUGGGAUUACAACAAGGAUAACUUAAUCUGUAGGGUUCCCCCCUCCACAUCAAAAAAAAAAAAAAAAAAAAAAAAAAAUGGAGCACGCCCCAUAAUUUUAGCAUUCAAGGAAAGUGGACCAAGUAGGCACACCAAACAAUGUACGCUAGAUCACUGUUGGCCUAUCAGCUUAGAGUGCCACCGAUGCCCUGUGGACCUCUUCUGUAACGCUGAGCACGCUCAGUCGACUCGCUUCAGAUCUCUGCUACGCCGAUCCUCCUCCACACACUCAGUCGCAAACGCAUCCAACAAGGGACAGCUUCCGCUCGCCGGGAUAUUCUGGGGGUCGCCGACUGCCUGAAAGACGGAAGAAAGAAGAGACUGCAGGAAUCGGCACCUACUUAGCUGCCCCAAUCCAGCCAGGCAUCUUCAACAUCUGCCAGCACGUACGCUCAGCUCUGAGCCCCUCUGCCUCGUGCCAGCUUUCUCAGCAAUCUCAGCUUUGUUGCCACCGAUCCUCGUAUUCCACUGAAGAGCUGUCACAAUCUGUUCCACUUUCUUCUCUCUCAUUGAAUUCCGGAUGUCCUCCGCUUCCCCCAAGGCAUCACCAACAUUUCAGAUCUUUGACUGUUAAAAAAGAGACUCCUGCCUCCCAUUGGCAACUUUUGGACUGACCAGAGGUGUCCCACUUCCUGCUCCAGAGAUUGAGACGUGGUGAAGCUGGGGGUUCCUCGCUACCGCUGAGUAAUCCCUCAUCUCCCAGCAUGCCCCACUCCAUGCAGCAGAAACACGCCCAACAGAUGCUCCUUCUGUGCCAGGGUAUAAACGGCUCAAGGGAGAACGGACCAGCUCCCCCCAGCUGGAGCCACAAACGAAGUUACUCAGGUGAGCAUGUCAGAAAGUCAAUCACUCAGCAGUCGACGUUUCAAACCAAAAAGCAAAUGCAAAGUGAAUAAAGUAAUAAAGAUUUAAGAAAUUGUUGCAUUUCCCUCUAAUAUUUCCCUAGAAAAGAAACUAUUAUAAUAAUAAUAUAAUAAUAAAAAAAAAAAAAAAAAAACAGGUGUUCCUGGUGACAUUUCUCUCAACUGCUCAAGCUUAAAACUACAGGUGAUAAUUAUGUAAAAAGUAGCCUAGUAUAUGUAGGUCAGAGCUGUCCAAUUACAGUUAGCUUUACAGAAGUGUGAGAACAAAUGUGAUUACAACACAUUGAAAACGGAGUUCUUACUCCUUCGACUAUCACAUACUAUCUCAUAAUUUCUGAUUAUGUAUUCACAUCUCUCAAGAGAUUGAAGCUCACACAUGUAUGCAACACAUAAGAACUUUCAAAGCAAAUCAAAGUCUUGACAUCAAUAUUCAGUAAAAAAAAAACUAUUUUAUUAUAUUUUUCUUUGUCAUUAUGGAUCUACAGGAAGCAGUUUUUUUUUUUUUUUUUUUUUAAACGAUGUAUUUACAAUACACAAGAGCAACAAGUAUAUACCAUAUGGUUAUUAUAAACACUUUAUAAAAUCAAUGUAGAGCAGGAAAACAUUUUUUCAGGCUUUAAUAGUAUAUAACUUGUUCUACGCAGUUAAUUUUCAUAGUUUUUUCCACAGUAACAACUUUACAAGCAAUCUUCAUCAUGAUUCUAAUGUAAACUCAUGCUGACACACCAGCCUGAAAGGACAUCAUCUCAAAACCUACUCCCUGUGCUGUGCUGCAAACAGGCCUGAAAUGUAAAAACGUCAAGAGCAAAACAGAUUCCAAGACUACAAGCCAGCCAAAAUUUACAACCCAGCGGAAAAGUUCCUUGCAUUCCAGAGUCUGUUAUAUAUAACCUAUUACAUACUAAUAUAAUUAAUUGCAGUAGCAAUAACAAUGUGAGAUUAUAAACUGCCCUGGGGGAUAUUCACAUAGGCUAUUAAGUUCAUGUUGUUCAACAGUAUUGCUCAGCACUUUAACUUAUGAUAAUAAAUCACCUGAAAACCAGAACUUGUAAUAAAUUACAGACUAUAUAGGCUAUUUGCUAAAAUAUAGGCUAAUGUUAAAAUGCGUGCUAAAAACAGAACAUUAAAUGUUUAUCUCUCACACAAACAUCGAAGAUAGUGCUCGCUAUGCCAGUGUUUGCUGAACUUUCAUUACUGACGUAACCUGCAUUCUUCAUGUUGGCCGAUGCUUAUCCAUUAUAUCAGAAGGGUCAAUUUAACUACUUUUUUUUUUUUUUUUUUUUAUCAGGGACUCUAAUGCGAUGAUAUGUGUCUCAAGGGAUACUG